GCCAAUACUCCAUCAUGACUUGGAUGAUUUUUCGAAUCCAGAAUUAAUGGCUUCUAAUGCAUCUGAAAAGGUAGAAUACAGCUGAAUCAGUUCACUCUUGCCCACGUCAUUAACAUGUAUUAAGGAAUACUGCAAAAUCUAGACCAGAAUGGAGAAACUAAUUACAAACAGGAAAAAAGAAGUAUUCCAUGGAUAGGCAAAAUCUCUGUCGAUCAUACAUGUAUGACAAGCAGAAGUAACGGCUAUACGUUGCCGGUUGAAUCCACCCACAGCAUAAAUAAAGAUAUACCAAGUAGUUUCAUUCUCUGACACAAAAUCUGCAGAAUAGUUUGUCAUGAGGUUUCUAACUAUGAUUGAUAAACAUAAACAGAGGAUGAGCACAUAUAAACAGAGGUUUAUUAGGCCGGAUUCUACUAACUGCAUCGCCAACACGGGGAUGAUGCACGGCUGUCAGCUGCGAAAGAUGCCAAAGCGCACAAAUAAAAGAGGCCACUGAGCCCAACCCGUGACCCAGCACCAAACAAUGCACACGGACGAAAAGAUGGCUUCCGAGUCCAGCCGUGACCCAGCACCGAUAAGUGCGCACAGACCAAAACAAAUGCAGUGAAAAGAUCCCCUACGAGGGCACAGUCGUAAAAAAAUAGCGCAAUUGCAUCCCCUGGGUUGGCACGUGCUAUACAUUAGCACCGGACUUUUUGUUCAAAUUCCUUUUUUUAAGAUUUUUCCAACACAACACCUCUUGUAUCCUUGCCAUGUCAGUUGUCGCUCAUCAAUUGAACAACUCCAGCACCGCCACCGUCGCUGGGAUGCAGCUCUAACAGCAAAAACCGGAAGCCAACCAUGGCGACUAGCAUGUCUGGCUGCGGCGGCCAUGGAGAGGAGCGCUCGAAGCUAGCCAUGGUGUUCACUCGCAGCUGCCGUGAGGUUCAUGAGCCAUAUCCGGACCUCCCACAGCAAUCAGAAUCGAGAAAAAUUUCAGUAACAUAUUGCUGUCUCUGGAUUCAGAAAUGCCUAAAGCAAGAAUUACAUCGAACUUCAAAUAAGAAACACGGACUUCCCUUACUCAAAAUGAAAGUAAUUUCCAACGGAAAUAACAGCCCUACAAAUUCAAAUAAGAAACACCAAGGAAAAAAAGCCUGCCUAUGAAACGGCCCUGUUCCGUUCCUCGGAGUCUGCCUAUGCUCUCCGCGCUCUUGCCCUUCGCCAGAUUAGAUCAAUGUUCAGCAUCAGUAAUAGUACGGCAGCAGAAUUUUAACUUGCCUAAAAUAAAGUCUACUGCUUGGUGAGAAAAUGUAGCAAACGAAACCUCAAGCAGAUUAAACAUUUACUACAGUACAUGGACUUCUCGUAACCACAGAAUUACCAGGCCAUCAGUAACAGCUCGGUAGAACAUGAGAAAAUGUCAAAGACAAGGAUCACCAUUUUCAGAAAAUAUAAACAGUGAGCAUAUUACAGAAGUUAGAAGUAAUGUAAACAGAUAGCAUACAGCUAGCUCUACUGGCACCAACUAGGAUAAUUACUGAUGCUUCACAUUCACUUCCAUGUCAAUCACUUAAGUGGAGAUAAAACUGAAAACUUCCUUGCUAUAACAACCACAACAUAUUAAAAAAAAUGAGCGAUGCAGCACUAUACCUACUAAGAAAAUCCAUCAACACGCACACAGUUAUCAGAUUCCGACACAAUAUAUAUGUAUCCCACAUGACUGAGUUACAUGUGUGGAUGUGCUUCCAUACAGCCAGCAAUCAAGACAUCCUCAUGUCCAUUAAGCAAGACAGGACUUGCACAAUGGUUGAAUAUGAAAGAUAUCCUCGUGAAAAUAUCUCUCGUGGCCUGCAGUGAGAAAAUAGAACAAAUUAUCCAACUGCACAGCAUAUUCCUAUUCUUGUCUAGCUAUUAAAAUGUAAAACAGAAAAUAAUUAUCAGGUGUUCAUAGUCUAAAAUCUGUUGCUUAUAGUACUAUUUACCUGUAUCAACAUGUACUGAUAAAAUGCCAUGGAUAUUUGCACAGCUAUCAAGCAAAACAGCAUCAUAUAUAACUUCCAUAUUUGCACAGCUAUCAACUAAAGCAGCAUUAUAUAUCAACCCAGCGUUUUUUUAAGAAUCUUCGACUAACAGAAAUAAUUCUUUAGGAUAGUGCUAACCAGAUCUCUGUAGCGAAAUAAUAAGAGCCUGAGUCAUGUCCAAAUUAUCACAAUCAGAGAAACAACAUUAUCCUUUUUGCUUACUAGUUUCAUUAUAUAUGCAAAACAUAUGGAUAAGCAACCUGGAAAUAUUCGCGCAUUUCAUCAUGAUGGCAAAGAAGUAGUGAUCUUUACCUUGAUCAAACAAGGAGAGCAGUUACUUCAUUUGCUAAUCCUAUUCCAUUCUAGCCGGUGCAUGCAGAGUCAAAUUCCAACUAAUAGUAUCAUCAUUUUAAGAUCUGUAACCUCCUCUUACUGCACAUACAACAAGUUCAGAUAUAUUACAACACAAGUGGUAUGCAUUGCUCGUAGUUAACAGUAGCAUUGCUCACAUAGGAAUAUGAACAAGAGAAAGUAUUUGACAAGCAUUGCUCACAGCAGAAUGUAAAAUUUAUAAGAUCUAAACGCAUAACCCUAGCAUUGCACAUUUAAGCUUGGGUCGUAACAUAUCACCGAUAGAGUAGGAAACUUGGUAAACUCAGUUAGUAGCCCUUUUCGUUGCUUACUUGGCACUGCUUAUUUCGAAGGAAAGCUGAAGAAAUAUGGGUAAACAUCCACUAAAUCAAUUAGGGAACAUGUGACUCACGGCAUAUAACACAAAACAGGUUCAACAAAUAUUAUUGGUUUACCAAAGUCCAUCAGGAAACAUGUGCAACAAAGAAAAACAGAAAAGCAAGUCAUCUUGCAGAGAAGUAGAAGUCAACCACAGAAAUUUCUAACCUUCUGUAAAGCACUUGCGCAGUCAAAUACAGAAUAAUAGAAUCUCAGUUUACCUACUUAAAAACCACUUGAUAUGAGAGGAAACUUUUCUACAAAGUAAUCUUGCAGAAUAAGCUCCAGAAGCUGCCAAUACUCCAUCAUGACUUGGAUGAUUUUUCGAAUCCAGAAUUAAUGGCUUCUAAUGCAUCUGAAAAGGUAGAAUACAGCUGAAUCAGUUCACUCUUGCCCACGUCAUUAACACAUAUUAAGGAAUACUGCAAAAUCUAGACGAGAAUGGAGAAACUAAUUACAAACAGGAAAAAAGAAGUAUUCCAUGGAUAGGCAAAAUCUCUGUCGAUCAUACAUGUAUGACAAGCAGAAGUAAUGGCUAUACGUUGCCGGUUGAAUCGACCCACAGCAUAAAUAAAGAUUAGUUUCAUUCUCUGACAAAAGAUCUGCAGAAUAGUUUGUCAUGAGGUUUCUAACUAUGAUUGAUAAACAUAAACAGAGGAUAAGCACACAUGAAUU
rnacentral:lncRNA from 1 species